rnacentral:sRNA from 1 species
UUCAGUUCAAAACAAAACACCAAGACGAGAACACAAAAUUUUCUUAAAAGAAAGUCUCGGUUUCAUAUAAAAGGCACGCGAUAAAAACUGGCAUCUAAACGGUAGAAAACUCGCUUUCCAAACAGGAAACUAUUGCUACUAGUUUAUUAAAUAGAAUAAACUUUGGAUCUGUGGUCACUGUUAUCGAUGGAUGCCACAACUGGCUUCAUUGCAGAGGCAAAUCUAACCCGAGUUGCCAUCAGGAUUGAAGCCUCGAGGAUCUUUAGUGCGAGUAAGAAAAGAAACGCAAACUGGUUUUCUGCCUCCAGAAAGGGG